GUCUAUGGCCAUGCCACCCUGAACAAUCCCGAUCUUGUCUGGUCUCGGAUGCUAAGCAGGGUCGGGCGUGGUUAGUACUUGGAUGGGAGACCACCUAGGAAGACAAGGUGCAUAAAAA
rnacentral:rRNA from 1 species